ACUAGGAGAAGAGCAGGCUUUCCCAGGGAUUUGCAAGUGAAUGUGUGGGAGGGAUACAAAGAAAGGGGGGCUUUGCCGAGAAGAUUCGCUCCUCCUGCUCCUGACAGAAAGGGUCUCUGUGCUUCAAGUCCAAGAUUAAAGCAAUUGUGUGAGGUGGAACUGAAUCAGAAAUAUAAUCAUUAUGAUUAGAGAACAUUACAUGGAUACUUGUUUAUUCAUUUUCUCAGAUGCUCAAUAAAAUGCCAGAAAGGAAGGAGGGAGAGAGAGAGAAAAAAAGUUGAAGACUUGGGUCUUAGCAGCUGCCAAGGAGAAAAAAGACAAAAAAAAUACUUCCU